UGCCGAAGUUUUGCAAAGCAAAACCGGCUACGCAUUUCAAAAAGUGCUAACACAACUUAGAAUGUUGAAAGGUUGAGUGUUAGCGUGGAUGCUAGUGGCAAACGGGUGAGUAACGCGUAGGCAACCUGCCCUUCAGAUGGGGACAACACUUCGAAAGAGGUGCUAAUACCGAAUGACGUAUCCAUUCCGCAUGGAGAGGAUACCAAAGGCCGGGCAACCGGUCACUGAAGGAUGGGCCUGCGUCUGAUUAGCUGGUUGGUGGGGUAACGGCCCACCAAGGCGACGAUCAGUAGCCGGUCUGAGAGGAUGAACGGCCACAUUGGGACUGAGACACGGCCCAAACUCCUACGGGAGGCAGCAGUGGGGAAUCUUCCGCAAUGGGCGCAAGCCUGACGGAGCAACGCCGCGUGAGUGAAGAAGGUUUUCGGAUCGUAAAGCUCUGUUGAGAGGGACGAGAGGCAAGGCUAGGAAAUGAGCUUUGUAGGACGGUACCUUUCGAGGAAGCCACGGCUAACUACGUGCCAGCAGCCGCGGUAAUACGUAGGUGGCGAGCGUUGUCCGGAAUUAUUGGGCGUAAAGGGAGCGCAGGUGGGAAAGUAAGUCAGUCUUAAAAGUGCGGGGCUCAACCCCGUGAGGGGAUUGAAACUACUUUUCUUGAGUGCAGGAGAGGAAAGCGGAAUUCCUAGUGUAGCGGUGAAAUGCGUAGAUAUUAGGAGGAACACCAGUGGCGAAGGCGGCUUUCUGGACUGUAACUGACACUGAGGCUCGAAAGCCAGGGGAGCGAACGGGAUUAGAUACCCCGGUAGUCCUGGCCGUAAACGAUGGAUACUAGGUGUAGGAGGUAUCGACCCCUUCUGUGCCGGAGUUAACGCAAUAAGUAUCCCGCCUGGGGAGUAC
rnacentral:rRNA from 1 species